rnacentral:rRNA from 1 species
GGCAGGCCUAACACAUGCAAGUCGAGCGGAAACGAUCCUAGCUUGCUAGGAGGCGUCGAGCGGCGGACGGGUGAGUAAUGCAUAGGAAUCUGCCCGAUAGUGGGGGAUAACCUGGGGAAACUCAGGCUAAUACCGCAUACGUCCUACGGGAGAAAGCAGGGGAUCUUCGGACCUUGCGCUAUCGGAUGAGCCUAUGUCGGAUUAGCUUGUUGGUGAGGUAAUGGCUCACCAAGGCGACGAUCCGUAGCUGGUCUGAGAGGAUGAUCAGCCACAUCGGGACUGAGACACGGCCCGAACUCCUACGGGAGGCAGCAGUGGGGAAUAUUGGACAAUGGGCGAAAGCCUGAUCCAGCCAUGCCGCGUGUGUGAAGAAGGCUUUCGGGUUGUAAAGCACUUUCAGUGAGGAAGAAAGCCUUGGGGCUAAUACCCCCAAGGGACGACAUCACUCACAGAAGAAGCACCGGCUAACUCCGUGCCAGCAGCCGCGGUAAUACGGAGGGUGCGAGCGUUAAUCGGAAUUACUGGGCGUAAAGCGCGCGUAGGCGGCUUGAUAAGCCGGUUGUGAAAGCCCCGGGCUCAACCUGGGAACGGCAUCCGGAACUGUCAGGCUAGAGUGCAGGAGAGGAAGGUAGAAUUCCCGGUGUAGCGGUGAAAUGCGUAGAGAUCGGGAGGAAUACCAGUGGCGAAGGCGGCCUUCUGGACUGACACUGACGCUG